AGCAGAGAGGGUGAUCAGGCGUCACUGUGACUGCUAUGAGGAGGAUAUGUAUGUACAGAAAGACAUCGGAGGGUUCAUACAGUGUUCCCUUAAGCCUGGCCUGGGACCCUAUGCUGAGUGCACAGAGAUCACUGACCUCAGGUCUGGGCUGGAGGAGGUGUUUCCUGAUGUGCGUUCUCUUUGUAUCCUUCACUCCUCCUCCUCCCUGCCUGCAGACUCCUUCUCUCACAUUCCCCUCCUGGAGCACCUCUAUUUGGAUGGCUCACACCUGGCAAAGGUGACCU
rnacentral:lncRNA from 1 species